UUAUGUAAGAUGAUUGCACAAAGUGCCUCUCCCAUGAUGUAACUAACAUUAAACUGUUAAUCAUAAACCUAGGGCUUCUCAGCUUUCACGGAAAUGCAGCUGUUAUACAGCCAGGUGAAACACUCUCCGAGGAGUCUGGUGAAGUUGCUCUGUUCUUGCUGACAUUUGUUGAAAGCCAUAUGCUGCACAUAAACCAAGAAGACAGCAAAGCCUUGCUACAAAAACACAUUACACAUCAGAGAGGUUCCCUCCAUGUGCCAUCUGUUUCCUUGCAAUUGGGAAUGGUAGAAUAA
rnacentral:lncRNA from 1 species